rnacentral:ncRNA from 18 species
CUAGGGUCACAGGGCCUUGGUGCUCGGGAAGCCGGUUCGAAGCCGGCGCGGCCCUCGCCACUGUGAUCGGGAAUGUCCGGCUCCACCCCCCGCGCGAGCGGGGAAGCCACUGGACCGCCGCGGGAGACCGCGGCGUCCGGGAAGGCGGAGCCGAGGCGGUACGACCCGUCAGCCAGGAGACCGGCCAGGGCGCGUUGUCCAUCC